AGAGCGAACGCUGGCGGCAGGCCUAACACAUGCAAGUCGAGCGCCCGUAGCAAUACGGGAGCGGCAGACGGGAUAGUAACACGUGGGAACGCGCCCUUCGGUUCGGAAUAACUCAGGGAAACUUGAGCUAAUGCCGGAUACGCCCUUACGGGGAAAGAUUUAUUGCCGAAGGAACGGCCCGCGUCCGAUUAGCUAGUUGGUGAGGUAAUGGCUCACCAAGGCGACGAUCGGUAGCUGGUCUGAGAGGAUGACCAGCAUCACUGGGACUGAGACACGGCCCAGACUCCUACGGGAGGCAGCAGUGGGGAAUAUUGGACAAUGGGCGCAAGCCUGAUCCAGCCAUGCCGCGUGGAUGAUGAAGGCCUUAGGGUUGUAAGUCCUUUUAACGGGGAAGAUAAUGACGGUACCCGUAGAAUAAGCCCCGGCUAACUUCGUGCCAGCAGCCGC
rnacentral:rRNA from 1 species